rnacentral:rRNA from 1 species
ACACAUGCAAGUCGAACGGCAGCGCGGGGCAACCUGGCGGCGAGUGGCGAACGGGUGAGUAAUAUAUCGGAACGUACCCUGGAGUGGGGGAUAACGUAGCGAAAGUUACGCUAAUACCGCAUACGAUCUAAGGAUGAAAGUGGGGGAUCGCAAGACCUCAUGCUCCUGGAGCGGCCGAUAUCUGAUUAGCUAGUUGGUAGGGUAAAAGCCUACCAAGGCAUCGAUCAGUAGCUGGUCUGAGAGGACGACCAGCCACACUGGAACUGAGACACGGUCCAGACUCCUACGGGAGGCAGCAGUGGGGAAUUUUGGACAAUGGGCGCAAGCCUGAUCCAGCAAUGCCGCGUGAGUGAAGAAGGCCUUCGGGUUGUAAAGCUCUUUUGUCAGGGAAGAAACGGCCUGUUCUAAUACAGUGGGCUAAUGACGGUACCUGAAGAAUAAGCACCGGCUAACUACGUGCCAGCAGCCGCGGUAAUACGUAGGGUGCAAGCGUUAAUCGGAAUUACUGGGCGUAAAGCGUGCGCAGGCGGUUUUGUAAGUUUGUCGUGAAAUCCCCGGGCUCAACCUGGGAAUGGCGAUGAAGACUGCAAGGCUAGAGUUUGGCAGAGGGGGGUAGAAUUCCACGUGUAGCAGUGAAAUGCGUAGAUAUGUGGAGGAACACCGAUGGCGAAGGCAGCCCCCUGGGUCAAAACUGACGCUCAUGCACGAAAGCGUGGGGAGCAAACAGGAUUAGAUACCCUGGUAGUCCACGCCCUAAACGAUGUCUACUAGUUGUCGGGUCUUAAUUGACUUGGUAACGCAGCUAACGCGUGAAGUAGACCGC